rnacentral:rRNA from 1 species
AGUAAUACAUCGGAACGUGCCCUGUAGUGGGGGAGUAACUAGUCGAAAGAUUAGCUAAUACCGCAUACGACCUGAGGGUGAAAGUGGGGACCGCAAGGCCUCAUGCUAUAGGAGCGGCCGAUGUCUGAUUAGCUAGUUGGUGGGGUAAAGGCCUACCAAGGCGACGAUCAGUAGCUGGUCUGAGAGGACGAUCAGCCACACUGGGACUGAGACACGGCCCAGACUCCUACGGGAGGCAGCAGCG